rnacentral:tRNA from 1 species
UCCUCGAUGGUCUAGUGGCUAUGAGUGAGUUUCACCAAAGCCGCGGGAGACCUGGGUUCGAUUCCCAGUCGGGGAG